UGGUUAGAAGACUGUAUGUGAAUGUCAUCAGUGUGGGACUGCUCCCAGGGGAUUGUGUGUCCCUCAUUCUAACUAACGGCCUAUCAAAACCUGGGAACAAUUCAGAAUUCAAUCACAUGAUAGCUUGCAGGAUCUCAAAAGCCCAACUUUAAAGACCCCCAAAAGAUCUUAAUUGGUAGAAAAGGAAAUAUAUAAAAGGAUCCAAGUUACAUAAGUAAGUAUCCAUCUAGCGAAAGAAAAUAUUCAUAGGCAAACAGGACUCAAGGAUAUAUCUAGACAACGCAGCUCCUAUAUAAAGAAAUCAGGAGCAGUAACAAAGCCUAUAAGGCCAAAAAACAAACUAUAAUAUGAGGAUAACCUAACAACGAAUAAACAGAUUAGCAUCAGUCAAAGUGAGCAAGCUAUCUGUUGUAGGUUCGUAUUUUUCUUUGUUAUUAAAACUUGAUCAAAUUUGUGGUUCAUUAAUGAGCUGACGCAUGUGACAAUAUACUCCAGAUUUAUCCAUCUGCUUCUAUCCGUUGAGAGGGCUUAUGCAAUUCAAAAGUCUUACUCUUCUGUGAAAAAGCUUGAUGAAAGACAUCAACUUUUUGAAAAAUAGCCAAUUUGUCAGGGCCUACACACUCCAAAUAGGUAUAACGCGAGAAUUGUGGGACGCUUGUCGUAUGCAAAACCAAGCGUGGAUAGAAAGGCGAAAGAUCUCAUGCAAAACAUAUGAUGUAACAUAAUUAGAAGUAAUCAAAGGCAAACAUAGGCAACGAAGAAUUUUUAGAGGAAAGAAAUCGCCACAUAUUGGAGAAUUGGAUUUAUGCCAAGGAGGAUAUAACCUGGAUCCACAGCAGUCCGAGGUUACACAAAAAGAGAACCCGGUUAGUGCCAAAACGUUGGUAUGCGUGCAAUCCGAUGCUCAAUCAGUCAUAGUUAUCAAGAUGAUAAAUAUAAAAAUAAUUAGAUAUUAUCCUAACCCUUUUGGGUUGUUGUUCAAGUCGUCUACACAAAGGCAGACGGUUCUGUAACUUAAGGUGCACAACAGCAUUCGUAAAUGCUCCCUUGAUAUCCCUUGGAAUUAUCUUCCCAAGUGUCGGGUCGGCAAGGAUUCUGUCCAAGCUUACAUGAGCUUGGACCCAACUUUUUCAAGCCUUUAGGCUAAGUACGAAAAGUGGUACUACAAGCCCGAUACCUACAAAAGACAUUCCAAUGUGCCCCAAUCGGUGGUUGUCCAGAGGGAAUCCGAUGCUAAGUUCAGUUCAUGCACCAAGAGAAUAAAUAUAUAAAUAGGGAAGUUCCAUAGAAAUACUCCAAGCGUGUAUGGGACAAAAUAGAAGUCCAUAAAAAUGAUAUGCGCAUUCGGCACAAUGUAUAAAUCCAUACUCGUUAAGCGUAACGUAGAAAUCCAUAGAGUAGAAGUAGUCCAUAGAAUCCACAAAAAUCCUUGAUUGUCUGGAAAAAGAUAAAAACACAUACAAAUCUAAGCGUGUUUGACACAAAAUAGAAGUCCAUAUAACUCCAUACGUGUUCGACGCAACGUAUAAAUCCAGAUUGAGCAUAAAGAAGAAAUCCAUAUAAAUCAAUAAAAUAGAAGAAGUCUAUAGAAUUCAUAUAAAUCCAUGCGCGUUCGGCAUAGUGUAUAAAUCCAUAAUUGUUGUUGAGUAUAAAAUGGAAGUCCAAAAAAAUCCAUAAAGUAGAAGAAGUGUGUAGAAUCCAUAAAAAUCCAUUUGUUGUUUGGCAAAAGAUAGAUGUAGGUACCAAUCUAAGCAUGUUUGGCACAAAAUAGAAAUCCGUAGAAAUCCAUACACAUUCGACGUUAUAUAUAAAUCCAUGAACAUAAAGUAGAAGUCCAUAUAAAUCCCUAAAGUAGAAGAAGUCCGUAGAAUCCAUAGAAAUUCCAUGGUGUUAGCAAAAGAUAAAAUACAUACAAUCUAGGUGUGUUUGGAACCCCCCCCCCCCCCCCCAAAAUAGAAGUCUAUAAAAAUCUCUGUGUAAUCAGCAAAUCAUAUAAAUGAGUACAAGCAUAAUGAAGAAGUCCAUAGAAAAACUAUAAAAAAUCUAUUUUUUUUUGGAAAAAAAAAAAAAUAAAUCCUAAAAACCAUGUGUGUGGGACACAAAUAGAGUAAACAUUAGUAUAAAAUGAAUUUCAAGCAUGGUUUACCUGCCAAUGCUAUGCCUUAUGGGAUUGUAGAAUUUUGCUGACAAAAUCACAAUAAAAUUUUCAAGAUUUCGAAAAACAAUAGAUCAAAACAUCCUUCCCAUAGUGAGAAUGUCAUCUGCAUUUUAUGUCAAGAAUAAGGUUGAUAUAGAUAAUCUAGUCAAGACGAAACUACUAAGUUCAAUGCUGCGGUUGAAGUCUAGGUAAACUAUAACGUCAUAGCGGACACAUUGCAGGCUUUUAGUAAGAAGAGAUGGAAACCUUAUUUGCUGAACUAUAUACCAACUGUGAUGGUCCACAUAUGCCAGGUAAAGAUAGUGAGGUUAGGCCAUGUAGUUAAGCAAAUGAGAAUGUUAAUUCCGACCCAUAGAUGAUGCGACCAACAACAAGCAGAAGGUUGGUGGUAGGGUUGCGGAUUUUGAAUGGGUUAAAGUUUGAGGCCAAAGCACGCUGAGAUAGUGUGAGGCCCAGGUUAAAAAUUGGGUCAUGUCGUAGAGCUGAUUACAUGCAGCGAAAUGGGCUAUUUGAACUGCUGCAGUUUAAAGAAGGCGUUAUGCUGAUGUCAACAAAUAGAGAAAAGUGUCAAUUUACCAAAUUCUCUACAUAUAAAAUGCAAAGAACCGUAUAGGGGGGAGAAGAGAGAAGAUCCAUGUGUUUUGUCCACACGAUGAGGUCUCCAUGCUUUCGAUGCUCAUUCAAGUUUAUCCUUGCAACAUUUCGUCUCAAAACACCUGGUUCCAAAAUUCUAAAGCCCACCCAUGACGCUCACCCAGUGAGUCUUUGUUGAGUGGAUAGUUGGUUUAGGAGUUGCAAACCAACCACGGGGAGGGUACUUGUGAGCGUUGCCCCAUUAGUUCUCACAUUCUUAAUUCCGAAAUUUGUUUUCAUUUAGAAAGAAAUCUGCAAGAUGACAAGGGAUCAAGUAACCAAGCAAGGGGAAACACCAAGGGUUCCAAAGACUAUACUCCAAACCCCAAAACACCUUUUCCUGGUGCAGUAUGAGCUAAACCAUUGAAGACUCUUCCCAUACAAAAAUCCACAGCAUUGGAAGCUACAUUGAAGAUACUUGAUAUAUCUGAGAAUCACCUCCAACUUCAAGUGAUAUAGUAAUAUACCAUUAAGAAUAUCCACAGAGCUUUGUAGUUACUUUCCACAAUAAUAGCGAGAAGCUUAUUCAUUCCCAACUGAACACCACUAUUAAAUAGCAAUGGCUUCUGAGAAAAUUCAAUAAAAAAUGAAGCCCAUUGCGAAGCAGCAAGGACAAGUCCCCCACUGUCCCUGGUCACCACACAUAGGUUCCUUUUGAAUUCCUUUCCACAAAAUUUCCAUCCGUUCGAGCUUUCAAAAAUCCAUCCCUAGGGUGACGUCCAAUGCCCACUACUCUGUCCACUGUUUGACUGAAUAUAGAAGUAGAUGCACUAGGCGCCUCAUUAACUGCAAAAACACUCCUGAACACAUACCAUAGCCAACUAGCAAACAACCCCAGGAUGUUGGACUUUUUUCUCGGCAAUUGCAAAUAAACCAGACCACAACAGCUGCUAAAGCAUCACCCCACAUUUUGUUCUCAGCUUGAAAUCCGGCAAAUGGUGUCUCACAGGAAGUUAAAUCCAUUCAAAGGGGCGAAAAAAGUUAUAUAUUUACGAGUGAUCCAAUGAAGAUUAUAAGACUGGUUGCUUUGCUAUUUUGCAUGCUCAUUGGAUGGAUUGUACUUCUUGCGGGGAUCAUUCCGGAAUGAUUGACGACCUAAUUCCUAGCCUCGAAGUCGAGACUAUGCUGCUCUUGACAGCCAUCGGACGAUGCUUUUUAUGGUUGUAGGGAAUUAAUCAUUCAUUAAGGGUCUUUUCGUACGUAAAUAAUACUAAAUAGAACAAUUUUACAGUAAAUAUGCAUGGGUCUAUGAAUUCGUUCCAUGGUUAGUGGAGUAUUUCAUACUCAUUACAGUAUGGAUACUUAAAAGGUGCUUGUACUUUAAAUGUACUUUAUUAUUAAAUUGUGUUAAUAUUUCAUAAGGGCAAUGUCAAAAAUUAUUUGACAAAAAUGGAAAGAAUUUUCAAAUUUUCCUUUACUGGUUUUAUAGAAAAAUAAGAGUUGAGAAUAAAGAAUUUUCAAUGGGGCUUCCUUUGCGUUGAGCCAGAGAAGAAACGAAGGAAAAAUAGCAAGUAAAUAUGUUGAAACUUUAGUCUCUUAUUUUAGAUCCGAUUUGAUUGUAUGAGUUCUAAUAUAGUAUGAAAAUUCUGGUGAUUUGGCAUCCUAAACUAAUGAUCAAAUGGGAUUAUUUCUGAAAUUGACGUAAAAUCGCACAUAACACAUGUUUAUUACAAAAAUAACAAUUUAAAUAAAAACCAUGCUAACAAGUGUGUAUUAACAUAUAUGGGUUUUAUAUAUGGAAACUGCAAUAUAUAAAACCCCGGGUUAUGCAGGGUUAAAAAAAAUAUAAAGGAUAAGUAAAAUAAAAUUGGUAACAAUUUAUAUAUAUAUUUUAUUUUAAAAAAAAGAGCUCGGUUAAGGAUGGGGUAUUAGUGACUCGCCGCUCUGAAAAUCGGGUGCAUCCAAGAAAUACGGUAGUAUCUCUUCAUAUCAUGAAUUAACUCUUUUAGAAUCUGGUAUAAUAUGUUAGUUUAUAUAUUUGAGAGUGAUCCAAUGAGAAUUAUAAGUGUGGUCGCCUUUUUAGAUUUUGUGCUAUUGGAUGGAUUGGUACUUCUUGGGGGAUCAUUCCGAAAAUGAUGACGACCUAAUUCCUAGCGUCGGAAGUGGCGCUAUGCUAUUCUGAUAAGCCCCAUCGGGACGAUGCUUUUUUUGGGUGGAGGAAAUUAUCAUAGGGUCUUUUGGACGUAAAAUAAUACUAAAUGGAACUAUUUUAUGAUAAAUAUGCAUGGGUCAAAGGAAUUGGUCCAUAGGUUGUGGAGUAUUUCAACUCAUUACAGUAUGGAAUGAAAAGUGUUCUACUUAAAUAUACUUUAUUAUUAAUUGUGUUAAUUUUCAUAAGGGCACUUUUUAAUGAAACUUGUUGUAAAAAUGCCAAAAAUAUUGACAAAAAUGGAAGAUUUUUUGUAUUGCCUUUGCUGAUUUGAAAGAAAAAUAGGGAGUGAGAAUAAAGCAUUUUUUAUGGGCUUCCUUGAGUGAGUCAGAGAGAAACGAAGUGGUAAAUGAGCAAUUAAAGUACUGCUUUGACACCUUUAGUCUCUUCUGGUUUAGAUCCUCUUUGGAGGUAUCUCUGGAUUGUAUCAGUUUAAUAUACGACCAAAUCCUGGUUGAUUCGGCAUCUAAUAAUAUCAAAUGGGAUUGUUCUUGAAAUUGAUGAUAAAAAACCCAUGAAUAACAUAUGAUAAAUACAAAAAAAUAACAAGUUUACAGAAAACCCGUGCAUAACAAGUGGGUAUUUCCACAUAUGGGUUUAUAAUAUGGAACUAGCAUAUAUAACCCCGUCCUAUGCAGGGGUUAAAAAAAUAUAAGGAAAUAAGUUAAAAUUAAAAUGGCAUAAAACAGACCUUGAGGAGAAAGAUCCCCAACUAUUUUACCUCCAUCGCUUGACCCCCCAGCACAAUCCGUCAUCCCCGGGGCUAGUCGCGCGGAGAGCGGGUCGUUGGGCGUAGCCUCAUGGGUUAUAUAUAUAUAUAUAUAUAUAUAUAUAUUAUAUAUCUUCAUUUGGUAAAAAAUCCAAAAUGGUUGACAAAAAUGACAAGAAUUUUGUAAUUUCUUUUGCUAAUUUUUAGAGAAAAAUAGGGGGUGAGAAUAAAGUAUUUUUCGAUGGGCGUCCUUUGAUGUUGGCCAGAGAAGAAACGAAGUUGAGGAAAAUAGUGCAAAGUAUGGACUACUUUUGACCAAUUUAAGUCUCUCUGUUUGUUGAACAUGCUUUGGAUUGUAUUCGUUUUAAUAUAUGACAAAUCCUGGUUGAAUUUUUCCAUCUAAAAUAAUGAUCAAAUGGGAUUAUUUCUAGAAAUUUACAUAAAUCCCGUGCAUAACACGUGUAUAUUACAAAAAUAAUAAAUUUACAUAAAACCCGUGCAUAACACGUGUGUAUUAACAUAUAUGGGUUUUAUAUAUGGAACUAGCAUAUAUAAACCCCGUGUUAUGCAGGGUUAAAACAAAUAUAAAGGAUAAGUUAAAAUAAAAGGUAAUAAUUUUUAUAUAUAUUUAUUAAAAAAAGAGCUCGUGUUCCUGAUGGGCAUUAGUUGACUCGCCACUCUGAAAAUCGUGUGCAUCCAAGAUAUAGGUAGUAUCUCUCAUGUUAUUUGAAUUAACUAUUUUAAGAAUCUGGUAAUAAAAUUGUUAGUUUUAUAUAUUUGCGAGUGAUCCAAUGAAGAUUGUAAGAGUGGUCGCUUUUUCUCUUUUGCAUGCUCUUGCGAUGGAUUGUACUUCUUGCGGGGAUCAUUUCGGAAAUGAUUGAAGACCUAAUUCCUUGCGUCGAAGUCGUGACUAUGCUGUUCUUAAUAGCCAUCGGGACGAUGAUUUUUAUGGUUGGAGGGAAUUAAUUAUUAAAAGUCUUUUGGUAUGUAAAUAAUAAUAAAUGGAACAAUUUUACGGUAAAUAUGCAUGGGUCGAUGGAUUCAUUCCAUGGUUAGUGGAGUAUUUCAUACUCAUUACAGUAUGGAUAAUUAAAAGGUGCUUCUACUUUAAAUAUACUUUGUUAUUAAAUUGUGUUAAUAUUUCGUAAGGGCACUGUUAAUGAAACUUUUUGGUAAAAAUGCCAAAAAUUGUUUGACAAAAAUGGCAAGAAUUUUGUAAAUUCCUUUUGCUGAUUUUUAAAGAAAAAUAGGGUGUGAGAAUAAAGUAUUUUUCAUGGGCUACCUUUGAGUUGUGCCAUAGAAGAAACGAAGUGGGAAAAUGAGCAAGUCAAGUACUUCUGACACUUUAGUCUCUCUAGUUUAGAUCCUCUUUGGAUUGUAUCGUUCUAAAACAUGACAAAUCCUGGUUGAUUCAGCAUCUAAAAUAAUAAUCAAAUGGGAUUAUUUCUUGAAAUUGACAUAAAACCCGUGCAUAACAUAUGUAUAUAACAAAAAUAACAAGUUUACUGAAAACCCGUGCAUAACACGUGCAUAUUUACACAUAUGGGUUUUAUAUAUGGAACUAGCAUAUAUUAACCCCGUCCUAUGCAGGGUUAAAAAAACAUAAAGGAUAAGUUAAAAUAAAAUGAAAUAAUAUAUAUAUAUAUAUAUAUAUAUUCAUUUGGUAAAAAUGUCAAAAAUUGUUUGACAAAAAUGGCAAGAAUUUUGUAAUUUUCUUUUGCUGAUUUUUAGAGAAAAAUAGGGAGUUAGAAUAAAGCAUUUUUCAUGGGUUUCCUUUGAAUUGUGCCAGAGAAGAAACGAAAUGGAAAAAUGAGCAAGUCAAGUACUUUUGACACUUUAGUCUCUCUGUUUUACAUUUGCUAUGGAUUGUAUUCAUUCUAAUAUAUGACAAAUCCUGGUUGAUUUGCUUCUAUAAUAAAUCAAAUAGGAUUUUUCUUGAAAUUUACAUAAAUCCCUGCUAAACGUGUAUAUUAACAAAAAUACAAAUUUACAAAAUAAAACCCGUGCAAACACGUGUGUAUUACAUAUAUGGGUUUUAUAUAGGGCACUAGCAUAGAUAACCCCGUGCGAUGCAUGGUUAAAACAAUAUCAGGGCGUUAAAAUAAAAGGUAAUCAUUUUUAUAUAUAUUUAUUAAAAAAAAAGGAUUUCAAUGUUCCUGAUGGGCAUUUUUGAGUCGCCGCUUGAAAAUCGUGUGCAUCCACAGAUAUAGGUAGUAUCUCUCAUGUUUUGAAUUAACUAUAUGGUUUUAAGAAUCUAGUAAAAUUGUUUAGUUUUAUAUAUUUGUGAGUGAAAUCCAAUGAAAGAUUGUAAGAGCGGUCGCUUUUUCUCUUUUGCUGGGUUGGAGGGAAUUAACAUUAAGGGGUCUUUGGUACAUAAUAAUACUACAUGGAACAAUUUUACGAUAAAAUGCACGGGUCAAAGGAGUCGUCAUGGUUUAGUGGAGUAUUUCAUACUCAUUAAGUAUGGAUACGUAAAAGGUGCUUCUACUUUAAAUAUACUUUGUUAUUAAAUUGUGUUAAUAUGUUGUAAGGGGCACUGUUAAUGAAACGUUUUGGUAAAAAUGCCAAAAAUCGUUUUACAAAAAUGGCAAGAAUUUUGUGAAUUCUUUUGGCUGUAUUUUAGAGAUAAGAGGGUGUGAGAAUAAAGCAUUUUUCAUGGGCUUCCUUUGAGUUUGUGCCAUAGAAAAUAAACAAGUGGGAAAUGAGCAAGUCAAGUACUCUUUCUGCACUUAGGCUCUCCGGUUUAGUUCUCUCUUUGGAUUGUAUCGUUCUAAAACAUGACAAAUCCUAGCAGAUUCAGCCUCUCAAUAAUAUCAAAUGGGAUUGUUUCUCUUCUUGAAUUGACAUAAAACCCGUGCAUAACAUAUGGUAUGAUAACAAAAUACAAGUUUACUGAAAACCCGUGCAUAAACGUGCGUAUUUACACAUAAUGGUUUUCAUAUCUGGAACUAGCAUAUAUAACCCCGCCCUAUAGGGUAAAAAAAAUAAAGGAUACGUUAAAAUAAAAUGGAAUAAAUAUAUAUAUAUAUAUAUAUAAAUGUCUUCGGGAAAAAUGCCAAAAAUUGUUUGAAAAAAAUGGCAAGAAUUUUGUAAUUUCUUUUUGCUGAUUUUUAGAGAAAAAUAGGGGGUGAGAAUAAAGUAUUUUUCAUGGGCUUCCUUUGAAUUGUGCUAGAGAAGAAACGAAAUGGGAAAAUGAGCAAGUCAAGUACUUUUGACACUUUAGUCUCUCUGUUUUACAUCUGCUAUGGAUUGUAUUCAUUCUAAUAUAUGACAAAUCCUGGUUGAUUUGCCAUCUAAAAUAAUGAUCAAAUGGGAUUAUUUCUUGAAAUUUACAUAAACCCCGUGCAUAACACGUGUAUAUUACAAAAAUAACAAAUUUACAUAAAACCCGUGCAUAACACGUGUGUAUUAACGUAUAUGGGUUUUAUAUAUGGAACUAGCAUAUAUAAACCCCGUGCUAUGCAUGGUUAAAACAAAUAUAAAGGAUAAGUUAAAAUAAAAGGUAAUAAUUUUUAUAUAUAUUUAUUAAAAAAAAGAGCUCAUGUUCCUGAUGGGCAUUAGUUGACUCACCGAUCUUAAAAUCGUGUGCAUCCAAGAUAUAGGUAAUAUAUCUUAUCUUAUUUGAAUUAACUAUUUUAAGAAUCUAGUAAUAAAAUUGUUAGUUUUAUAUAUUUGCAAGUGAUCCAAUGAAGAUUGUAAGAGUGGUCGCUUUUUCUCUUUUGCGUGCUCAUGGGAUGGAUUGUACUUCUUGCGGGGAUCAUUCUGGAAAUGAUUGACGACCUAAUUCCUAGCGUCGAAGUGAAGACUAUGCUAUUCUUGAUAGCCAUCGGGACGAUGCUUUUUUUGGUUGGAGGGAAUUAAUCAUUAAGGGUCUUUUGGUACGUAAAUAAUACUAAAUGGAACAAUUUUAACGAUAAAUAUGCAUGGUUCAAAGGAUUUCUUCAAUGGUUAGUGGGAUUUCAUACCUCAUUACAGUAAUAGAUACUUAAAAGUGCUUCUACUUAAAUAUACUUUGUUAUUUAAAUGUGUUAAUAUUAUAAGGGCACUGUUUAAUGAACUUUUUGGUAAAAAUGCCAAAAUUGUUGACAAAAAGGUGCAAGAUUUUGUAAUCCUUUUGCUGAUUUUGAGAGAAAAAAAGGAUGUGAGAAUAGCCUUUUUCAUGGGCUUUUCCUUGAAGUGUGCCAAAGAGAAACGAAGUGUGAAAAUGGCAAGUCCAAGUAACUCUCCUGACACUUUAGGCUCUCUAUUAAGAUCCUCUUUGGAUUGUAGUUCUAAUAUACGACAAAAAUCCUGUUGAGAUUCGGCAUCUACAAGAAUAAUCAAAAUGGGAAUUAUUUCCUUGAAAUUGAUAUCCAACCCGUGGCAUAACCUAUGUAUAUACAAAAAUAACACGUUUACAGAAAAACCCGUGCACAACACGUGUGUAUUACACAUAUGGGUUUUAUAUAUGGAACUCGCAUAUAUAACCCCGUCCUAUGCGGGUUAAAAAAAAAAAUAUAAAGGCUAAGUUCAAAUAAAACGGAAAAAUAUAUAUAUAUAUAUAUAUCUAUUAUAAUAUAUUCAUUUGGGUGGGGUAAAAUGCCAAAAAUUUGUUUGACAAUAAUGAUUCAAAUGGGAUUGGUUGUUCUAGAAAUUUACAUAAACCCGUUCAUAACACGUUUGUAUUAACCUAUAUGGUUUUCUAUAUGGAACUAUCAUAAUAUAAAACCCCUCGUGCUAUGAUGUUGAAACAAAUAUAAAGGAUAGUUAAAUGAAAAGGUAAUAAUUUGUUAUAUAUAUGUAUUAAAAAAGAGCUCAGUUCCUGAUGGGCAUGACUUGACUCGCGCUCCUGAAAAUCGUGUGGCUCCAAGAUUGGUAGUAUCUCUCAUGUUAUUGAAUUAACUUUUGAAUCUAGUAAUAAAAGUGUUAGUUCAUAUUUUGUGGCGAGUGAUCCCAUUAAGACUGUAAGAGUGGUCGCUUUUUCUCUUUUGCGUGCUCAUGGGAUGGAUAGUACUUCUUGCGGGGAUCAUUCUGAAAAUGAUUGACGACCUAAUUCCUAGCAUCGAAGUGGAGACUAUGCUAUUCUUGAUAGCCAAUGGGACGAUGCUUUUUUUUGUUGGAGGGAAUUAAUCAUUAAGAGUCUUUUGGUACGUAAAUAAUACUAAAUGGAACAAUUUUACAAUAAAUAGGCAUGGGUCAAAGGAUUCGUUCCAUGGUUAGUGGAGUAUUUCAUACUCAUUACAAUAUGAAUACUUUAAAGGUGCUUCUACUUUAAACAUACAUCAAUACUAAAUUGUGUUAAUAUUUUCGUAAGGGCACUGUUCUGAACUUUUUGGUAAAAUGGCCAAAAUAUUUGACAAAAAUGGCAAGACUUUUGUAAUUUCCUUUUGCUGAUUUUUAAACCACCAAACACCCAACAAGUGGUGGGAAAGUGGAAAGAGGAGUGAGGUGGGGGGGAAGGGGGGAGAAGUGGGAGCAAAAAUAGGGGGUGGAAGAAUAAAUCAAUUUUUUUUCAUUGUUUUCCUUGAGUUGAACCAGAGAAGAAACGAAGUGGGAAAAAGAGCAAGUCAAGUACUUUUGACACUUUAGUCUCUCUGUUUUACAUCCGCUUUGGAUUGUAUUCGUUCUAACAUAUGACAAAUCCUGGUUGAUUUGCCAUCUAAAAUAAUGAUCAAAUGGGAUUGUUUCUAUAAAUUUACACAAACCCCGUGCAUAACACGUGUAUAUUACAGAAAUAACAAAUUUACAUAAAACCCGUGCAUAACACGUGUGUAUUAACAUAUAUGGGUUUUAUAUAUGGAACUAGCAAUACUUAACCCUUGCUAUGCAUCGUUAAGUUAUAUACAGGAUAUUUUAAAUACAAGGUAAAAUUUAUCUAUAAUAUUUUAAUUAAAAAAAGACUCGUGUUCAUGUGGGCAUUAGCUGACUCGCCGCUCUGAAAAGCGUGUGCAUCCAAGAUAUAGGUAGUAUCAUCUCAUGUUAUUUGAAUUAACACUAUUUUUAGAAUCCUAGUAAUAUAAAAUUGUUAGUUUUAUAUAUUUUGGGUGAUCCAAUGAAGAGUGUAAAGUGGGUCGCUUUUUCUCUCUUUUGCGUGUCAGGGAUGAUGGACUUCUUGCGGGAUCAUUCUGGAAAUGAUAUUGACGACCUAAUUCCUAGCGUCGAAGUGGAGACUAUGCUAUUUUUGAUAGCCAUCGGGACGAUGCAUUUUUAGGAUGGAGGGAAUUAAUCAUUAAGGGUCUUUUGGUACAUAAAUAAUACUAAAUGGAAUAAUUUUACGAUAAAUAUGCACGGGUCAAAGGAUUCGUUCCAUGGUUAGUGGAGUAUUUCAUACUCAUUAAAGUAUGGAUACGUAAAAGGUACUUCUACUUUAAAUACACUUUGUUAUUAAAAUGUGUUAAUAUUUCAUAAGGGCACUGUUAAUGAAACUUUUUCGUAAAAAUGCCAAAAAUUAUUUGACAAAAAUUGCAAAAAUUUUGUAUAAUUUCCUUUUGCUGAAUUUUAGAGAAAAUAGGUGUGAGAAAAAGCAUUUUUCAUGGGAUUCCUUGAGUAUGCCAGGAAGAACGAAGUGGGAAAAGAGCAAGCAAUCUUAGAUACUUUAGGCUCUCUAGUGUUAGAUCCUUUUGGCUUUAUCGUUCUAAUAUACGACAAAUCCUGGUUGAUUCGGCAUCUAAAACAAUGAUCAAAUGGGAUUGUUUCUUGAAAUUGAUAUAAAACCCAUGCAUAACAUAUGUAUAUAACAAAAAUAACAAGUUUACUGAAAACCCGUGCAUAACACGUGCGUAUUUACACAUAUGGGUUUUAUAUAUGGAACUAGCAUAUAUAAACCCCGUCCUAUGCAGGGUUAAAAAAAUAUAAAGGAUAAGUUAAAAUAAAAUGGAAUAAUAUAUAUAUAUAUAUAUAUAUAUAUAUAUUCAUUUGGUAAAAACGCCAAAAAUUGUUUGACAAAAAUGGCAACAAUUUUGUAAUUUCCUUUUGCUGAUUUUUAGAGAAAAAUAGGGGGUGAGAAUAAAGCAUUUUUCAUGGGCUUCCUUUGAGUUGAAUCAGAGAAGAAACGAAGUGGGAAAAAGAGCAAGUCAAGCUUGUGACACUUUAGUCGCUCGGUUUUACAUCCGCUUUGAUUGUAGUCGUUCUAACAACAUAUGAACAAAAUCCUGUUGAUUUGCCAUUUAAAAUAAUGAUUCAAAUGGGAUUGUUUCAUAAAUUACACAAACCCCGGCAAACACGGUAUAUUACAGAAAUAACAAAAUUUACAUAUAAAACCCGUGCAUAACACGUGUGUAUUAACAUAUAUGGGUUUUAUAUAUGGAACUAGCAUACAUAAACCUCAUGCUAUGCAUGGUUAAAGUUAAUAUAAAGGAUAAGUUAAAAUAAAAGGUAAAAAUUUAUAUAUAUAUAUUUAUUAAAAAAAAGAGCUCGUGUUCAUGAUGGGCAUUAGCUGACUCGCCGCUCUGAAAAUGUAGGCAUCCAAGAUAUAGGUAGUAUCUCUCAUGUAUGUGAAUGUAAUAUUUUAAGAAUCUGGUAAUAAAUGUUAGUUUUAUAUAUUUGCGAGUGAUCCAAGAAGAUUGUAAGAGUGGUCGCUUUUGUCUCUUUUGCAUGCUCGUGGGAUGGAUUGUACUUCUUGCGGGGAUCAUUCCGGAAAUGAUUGAGGACCUAAUUCCUAGCGUUGAAGUCGAGACUAUGUUGUUCUUGAUAGCCAUCGGGACGAUGCUUUUUAUGGUUGCAGGGAAUUAAUCAUUAAGGGUCUUUUGGUAUGUAAAUAAUACUAAAUGGAAAAAUUUCACAGUAAAUAUGCACAGGUCGAUGGAUUCGUUCCAUGGUUAGUGGAGUAUUUCAUACUCAAUACAGAAUGGAUACUUAAAAGGUGUUAGUACUUUAAAUAUACAUCAUUAUUAAAUUGUGUUAAUAUUUCAUAAAGGCACUGUUAAUGACACAUUUUGGUAAAAAUGCAAAAACAUAUUUGAGUAAUAUGGCAAAAAUUUUGUACUUUCUUUUUACUGGUUUUUAGAGAAAAAUAAGGGAUGAGAAUAAAGCAUUUUCCAUGGGCUUCCUUUGAGUUUAGCCAGAGAAGAAACAAAGUGGGAAAGGAGCAAGUCAAGUACUUUUGACACUUUAGUCUCUUUGUUUUAGAUCUGCUUUGGAUUGUAUUCGUUCUAAUCUACGACAAAUCCUUGUUGAUUUGGCUUCUAAAAUAAUAAUCAAAUGUGAUUGUUUCUUGAAAUUGACAUAAACCCCGUGCAUAACACGUGUAUAUUACAAAAAUAAUAAAUUUACAUAAAACUCGUGCAUAACACGUGUUUAUUUUCAUAUAUGGGUUUUAUAUAUGGAACUAGCAUAUAUAAACCCCAUGUUAUGAAGAGUUAAAGGACAAUUAAAAUAAAAGGCCAUAAUUUAUAUAUAUAUUUACUCAAAAAUAAAAAGAGCUUGUGUUCCUACUGGGCAUUAGCUGACUCGCCCCUCUGAAAGUCGUGUGCAUCCAAGACAUAGGUAAUAUCUCUCAUGUUAUUUGAAUUAACUAUUUUAAGAAUCUGGUUAUUAAACUGUUAGUUUUCUAUAUUUGCGAGUGAUCCAAUGAAGAUUGUAAGAGUGGUAGAUUUUUCUAUUUUGCAUUCUCAUGGGAUGGAUUGUAUUUCUUGCGAGGAUCAUUCCGGAAAUGAUUGACGACCUAAUUCCUAACCUCGAAGUCGAGACUAUAUUAUUCUUGAUAGCCAUCGGGACGAUGCUUUUUAUGGUUGGAGGGAAUUAAUCAUUAAGGGUCUUUUGGUACAUAAAUAAUACUAAAUGGAACAAUUUCACAGUAAUACAAAUUGUUGCAUGGGUCAGAUGGAUUCUUCCAAGGUUUAGUGAAUUAUUUCAAUACUCAAUACAGAAUGGAUACUUAAAUGGUACUUGUACUUUAAACAUACUUCAUUAUUAAAUUGUGUUAAUAUUUAAUAAGGGCAAUGUUAAUGAUGCUUUUUGGGAAAAAUGCCAAAAAUUAUUUGAGAAAAAUGGCAAGAAUUUUGUAGUUUCUUUUUGCUGGAUUUUAGAGAAAAAUAAAGGGCGAGAAUAAAGAUUUUUCCAGGGCCUUCCUUUGAGUUGAGCCAGAGAAGAAACGAAAUGGGAAAAUGAGCAAGUCAAGUACUUUUGACACUUUAGUUUCUUCAUUUUAGAUCCGCUUUGGAUUGUCUUUGUUCAAAUCUAUUACAUAUCCUAGUUGAUUCGGCAUCUAAAAUAAUGAUCAAGUGGGAUUGUUUCUUGAAAUUGACAUAAAACCCGUGCAUAACACGUGUAUAUUACAAAAAUAAUAAAUUUACAUAAAACCCAUACAUAACACGUGUUUAUUUACAUAUAUGGUUUUUAUAUGUGGAACUAGAAUAUAUAAACCCCGUGUUAUGCAAGGUUAAAACAAAUAUAAAGUAUAAGUUAAAAUAAAAGGUAAUAAUUUAUAUAUAUAUUUAUUAAAAAAAAAAGAGCUCGUGUUCCAGCUGGGCAUUAGUUGACUCACCGCUCUGAAAAUCGUGUGCGUCCAAGAUAUAGGUAGUAUCUCUCAUGUUAUUUGAAUUAAAUAUUUUAAGAAUCUUGUAUUAAAAUUGUUAGUAUUAUAUAUUUUCAAGUGAUCUAAUGAAAAUUGUAAGAGUGGUCGCUUUUUCUAUUUUGCAUGCUCAUGGGAUAGAUUGUACUUCUUGCGGAGAUCAUUCCGGAAAUGAUUGAUGAUAUAAUUCCUAGCCUCGAAGUCAAGACUAUGUUGUUCUUGAUAGCCAUUGGGACGAUGCUUUUUAUGGUUGCAGGGAAUUAAUCAUUAAGAUUCUUUUGGUACGUAAAUAAUACUAAAUAGAAUAAUUUUAUGGCAAAUGUGCAUGGGUCGAUGGAUUCGUUCCAUGGUUAGUGGAGUAUUUCAUACGCAUUACAGAAUGGAUACUUAAAUGGUGCUUGUACUUUAAAUAUACUUCAUUAUUAAAUUGUGUUAAGAUUUAUAGGGCAAUAUUAAUGAUGCUUGGGGGGAAAAAAAAGGCCAGAAUGUUUGAGAAAAUGGCAAGAAUUUUGUAAUUUCAUUUUGGGCGAGUUGUGGUGAUUUUAGAGAGGAAAAUGGGGUGAGUUGUGGUGAGAAUAAAGUCAUUUUUUUUCCCCCAUGGUGGGGGGGAGUUGGGGGGUGUUUUCCUUUGAGUUGAGCAAAGUAGAAACGAAGUGUUGGUAAAUUGGAGCAAGUCAGUACUUUUUUGGACACUUUAGUCUCUCUAUUUUAGAUCCCUUUGGAUGGGGAAUUGUAUUUGUUCUAAUAUGUGGACAAAUCCUAUCUUGAUUCGACAUAUAAAAUAAUGAUCACAUGGGAUUGUUUCUGAAAUGACAUAAAAAUGGGACAUAACACGUGUAUAUUACGAAAAGACAAACGUACAUUAAACUCGUGCUACAUGUGUUUAUUACAUAUAUAGGUUUUAUAUAUGGAACUAGCAUAUAUAAACCCCGUACUAUGCAGGGUUAAAAAAAAUAUAAAGGACAAGUUAAAAUAAAAGUCAACCAUUUAUAUAUAUAUUUAUUAAGAAAAAAGCUUGGGUUUCUGCUGGGCAUUAGCUGACUCGCCGCUCUAAAAAUCGUAGGCAACCAAGAUAUAGGUAGUAUCUCUCAUGUUAUUUGAAUUAAAUAUUUUAAAAAUCUUGUAUUAAAAUUGUUAGUUUUAUAUAUUUUCAAGUGAUCCAAUGAAAAUUGUAAGAGUGGUCGCAUUUUCUAUUUUGCAUGCUCAUGGGAUGGAUUGUACUUCUUGCGGGGAUCAUUCCGGAAAUGAUUGGGGACCUAAUUCCUAGCAACGAAGUCGAGACUAUGCUAUUCUUGAUAGCCAUCGGGAAUAUGCUUUUUUUGAUUUUAGGGAAUUAAUCAUUAAGGGUCUUUUGGGAUAUAAAAAUACUAAAUGGAAUAAUUUUAUAGUAUAGAUAGAAUACUGAACGGGGGCUACAGCAUCCGGAGCUUCCCAUGGUGAGUGUAGUAUUUCAAAUCAUUAUAGUAUGAAACUUAAAUGGUGUUAGUACUUUAAAACCUAUUUCGUUAUUUAUUAAAUUGUGUUAAUAUUUCAUCAAGGCACUGUUAAUGAAUUUUUUUGGUAAAAAGGCAAAAAAUUAUUUGACAAAAAUGGCAAGAAUUUUGUAUUUUCCUUUUACUGGUUUUUAGAGAAAAAUAAGGAGUGAGAAUAAAGUAUUUUCCAUGGGCUUCCUUUGAGUUGAGUCAGAAAAGAAACAAAGUGGGAAAAGGAGCAAGUCAGUACUUUUGACACGUUUUAGUCUCUCUGUUUUUUAGAUCUGCUUUGGAUUGUAUUCGUUCUAAUCUCCUCCGAUAAUCCUUAAUUGAUUUGCAGCCUAAAAUAAUGAUCAAUGGGAUUGUUCUGAAAUUGACAUAAACACCCUGGGCUACACUGUAAUAUUACGAAAUAACAACUUACAUAAAAUCUCGUGCAUAACACGUGGUUCAUUUACAUAUAUAGGUUUAUAUAUGGAACUAGCCAUAUAUAAACCCCGUCUAUUGCAGUGUUAAAAAAAAAUAUAAAGGACAAGUUAAAAUAAAGUCACCAUUAUAUAUAUAUUUUAUUAAGAAAAAAGCUUGGGUUUCCUGCUGGCAUUCUCUGACUCUCCGGCUCUAAAAAUCGUAGGCACCAAGUAUAGGUAGUUAUCUCUCAUGUUAUUUGAAUAAAUAUUUUAAAAAUCUUGUAUUAAAAUUGUUAUUUAUAUAUUUUCAAAGUGAUCCAAUGAAAAUUGUAAAUGAGUGGGUCCAUUUUCUAUUUUGCAUGCUCAUGGAUGGAUUGUACUUCUUGCGUGGGAUCAUUCGGAAUGAUUGGGGACCUAAUUCCUAGCAACGAGUCGAGACUAUUGCUAUUCUUUCCGAAGCCAUCGGGAUAGCUUUUUUGAUUUUAGGGAUUAAUCAUUAGGGUCUUUUGGUAUAUACUAAUACUAACUGGAAAUAUUUUAUAGUAAUAUGCAUGGGUCUACAGCUUCGUUCCAUGGUUAGUGUAGUAUUUCAUACUCAUUAUAGUAUGGAUACUUAAAUGGUGUUAGUACUUUAAACAUAUUUCGUUAUUAAAUUGUGUUAAUAUUUCAUCAAGGCACUGUUAAUGAAUUUUUUUGGUAAAAAGGCAAAAAAUUAUUUGACAAAAAUGGCAAGAAUUUGUAUUUUUUCCCUUUACUGGUUUUUAGAGAAAAAUAAGGAGUUAGAAUAAAGUAUUUUCCAUGGGCUUCCUUUGAGUUGAGUCAGAAAAGAAACAAAGUGGGAAAAGGAGCAAGUCAAGUACUUUUGACACUUUAGUCUCUCUGUUUUAGAUCUGCUUUGGAUUGUAUUCGUUCUAAUCUACGAUAAAUCCUUAUUGAUUUGGCAUCUAAAAUAAUGAUCAAAUGGGAUUGUUUCUUGAAAUUGACAUAAAACCCAUGCAUAACAUGUGUAUAUUACAAAAAUAACAAAUUUACAUAAAACCCGUGCAUAACACGUGUUUAUUUACAUAUAUGGAUUUUGUAUAUGGAACUAGCAUAUAUAAACCACGUGCUAUGCAGGGUUAAAAAAAAAUAUAAACGACAAGUUAAAAUAAAAGUCAACCAUUUAUAUAUAUAUUUAUUAAAAAAAAAAGCUUGGGUUCCUGCUGGGCAUUAGCUAACUCGCCUUUCUGAACACGUGGGCACCACGAUUAUUAGUAUCUCUAAGUUAUUUGAAUUAGUGUAUUUAAGAAUUUGGUUAUUAUAUGUUAGUUUUAUAUAUUUCAAGUUUGAGCCAAUGAAGAUUGUAAGAGUGGUCGCUUUUUCUAUGUGCAUGCUCAUGGGAUGGUGUACUUCUUGCGGGGAAUCAUUCUAGAAAUGAUUGACAACCUAAUUCCUAGCGUCGAAGUGGAGAUAGAGACUAUGUAUUCUGAUAGCAUCGAGCGAUGCUUUUUUGGUGGAUGGGGACUUAAUCAUUAAGAUUCUUUGGUAGUAAAAAUAAAUCCUAAUGGAAACAAUGUACGGUAAUAAAUGUGCAUGGAUCGAUGGAUUCAUCCAUGGUAGUGGAGUAUUUCAUACUCAUUACGGUAUGGAUACUUAAAAGGUGCUUGUACUUUAAACAUACUUCAUUAUUAAAUUGUGUUAAUAUUUCAUAGGGGCACUGUUAGUUAAAUAUUUUGGUAAAAAAUGCCAAAAAGUAUCUGAGAAAACUAGCAAGAAUUUUUUAAUUUUCUUUUGCUGGUUUUUAGGGAAAAAUAAAGGGUGAGAAUAAAGCAUUUUCAAUGGGCUUCCUUUGGGUUUAGUCAGAGAAGAAACGAAGUGGGAAAAGGAGCAAGUCAAGUACUAGCAAGAAUUUUUUAAUUUUCUUUUCAUGGUUUCAGAGGAAAAAAAAAGGGUGAGUGAGAAUAAAGCAUUUCAAUGCGGCUUCCUUUGGGUUAGUCAGAGCAGAAAACGAAGGGGAGAAAAAGGGCAAUCAAGUCCUUUUGACACUUCAGUCUCUCUAGUUUAGAUCCACUUUGGAUUCAUAUAGUUCUAGAUCUCAUGCAAAUCUAAGUGAUUCGCAUCUAAAAUAAUGAUCAAAUGGAUGUUCUUGAAAUUUGACAUCAAACCCAUGCAUAACAUGUGUAUAUUAUAAAAAUAACAAACUUACAUAAAACCCGUGCAUAACACGUAUUUACUUACAUAUAUGGGUUUUAUAUAUAGAACUAGCAUAUAUAAACCCCGUGCUAUGAAGGAAUAAAAAAAAUAUAAAGGAAAGGUUAAAAUAAAAAGUAAUAAUUUAUAUAUAUAUUUAUUAUAAAAAGAAGAGCGUGUGUUCUUGUUGGGCGUUAAUUGACUUGACUCUAAAACGUGUGCAUACAAGAUAUAGGUAGUAUCUCUCAUGUUAUUUGAAUUAAAUAUUUUUAGAAUCUAGUAAUAAAAUUAUUAGUUUUAUAUAUUUGAGAGUGAUUCAAUGAAGAUUGUAAGAGUUGUAGCUUUUUCUGUUAUGCAUGCUCAUGGGAUGGAUUGUAUUUCUUGCGGGUAUCAUUCCGAAAAUGAUUGACGACCUAAUUCCUAGCCUCGAAGUCAAAACUGUGCUAUUCUUGAUAGCCAUCAAGACGAUGCUUUUUAUGGUUUGAGAGAAUUAAUCAUUAAGAGUCUUUUGGUACGUAAAUAACACUAAAUGGAACAAUUUUGCGGUAAAUAUGCAUGGUUCGAUGGAUUCGUUCAAUGCUUAGUGGAGUAUUUCAUACUCAUUACAAUAUGGAUACUUGAAAGGUGCUUGUACUUUAAACAUACUUCAUUUUUAAAUUGUGUUAAUAUUUCAUAAGGGCAAUGUUAGUGAAAUUUUUCGUUAAAAACGCCAAAAAUUAUUUGACAAAAAUAGCAAGAAUUUUGUGAUUUCCUUUUGCUGGAUUUUAGAAAAAAAAUAAAGGGUUAGAAUAAAGCAUUUUUCAUGGGCUUCCUUUGAGUUGAGCCAGAGAAGAAACGAAGUGGGAAAAUGAGCUAGUCAAGUACUUUUGACACUUUAGUCUUUCUGUUUUAGAUCCGCUUUGGAUUGUAUUCGUUCUAAUCUAUGACACAUCCUGGUUGAUUCGGCAUCUAAAAUAAUGAUCAAAUGGGAUUCUUUCUAGAAAUUUACAUAAACCCCAUGCAUAACACGUGUAUGAUUGACGACCUAAUUCCUAGCCUCGAAGUCGAGACUAUGCAUUUCCUGAAAGCCAUCGAGACGAUGCUUUUUUUGGUUGGAGGGAAUUAAUCAUUAAGGAUCUUUGGUAUGUAAAUAACACUAAAUGGAACAAUUUUACAGUAAAUACGAACUGGUCGAUGGAUUUGUUUCAUGGUUAGUGGAGUAUUUCAUACUCAUUACAGUAUGGAUACUUAAAAGGUGCUUGUACUUUAAACUUACUUAAUUAUUAAAUUGUGUUAAUAUUUCAUAAGGGCACAUUUAAUGAAUUUUUUUUGUAAAAAUGACAAAAAUUGAUUGAGAAAAAUGGAAAAAAAAAUUAAUUUACUUUUGCUGGGUUUGGAGAAAAAUAAAGGGUGAGAAUAAAUCAUUUUCCACGGGCUUCCUUUGAGUUGAGCCAGAAAAGAAACGAAGUGGAAAAAUGAGCUAGUCAAGUACUUUUGACACUUUAGUCUCUUUGUUUUAGAUCCGCUUUGGAUUGUAUUCAUUCUAAUCUAUGACACAACCUGGUUGAUUCGGCAUCUAAAAUAAUGAUCAAAUGGGAUUGUUUCUUGAAAUUGACAUAAAACCCGUGCAUAACACGUGUGUAUUUACAUAUCUGGUUUUUAUAUUGGAACUAGCAUAUAUAAACCGUGUGGCUAUGGCAGGGUUUAAAAAAAUAUAAAGGAUAAGUUAAAAUAAAAGGCAACCAUUUUCUAAUGAAGAUUGCUACACUGACUCGCCGCUCUGAAAAUUGUGUGCAUCCAACGUAUAGGUAGUAUCUCUCAUGUUAUUUGAGUUAAAUAUUUUUAGAAUCUAGUAAUAAAAUUGUUAGUUUUAUAUAUUUUCAAGUGAUCUAAUGAAGAUUUCAAGAGUGGUCGCUUUUUCUGUUUGAUGUCAUGGGAUGGAAUAGUAGUGCUUGCGGGGAUCAUUCCGGAAAUAAUUGAGGACAUAAUUCCUGGUGACGCAAGCGAGCUUCUGUUGUCUUGAUAGCCAUGCGGGACCGAUUAAUUUUUUGGUUUGCCGAAUAAAUCAUUAAGAUUCUUUUGGUAUGUAAAUAAUACUAAAUGGAACAAUUUUACGGUAGGAUUUCGUUCUAUGGUUAGUGGAGUAUUUCAUGCUCAUUACAGAAUAGAUACUUAAAUGGUGCUUGUACUUUAAACAUACUUCAUUACUAAAUUGUGGUAAUAUUUCGUAAGGGCACUUGUUAAUUGAAAACUUUUUAGUAAGGGGUUGAGAAUAAUGCAUUUACCAUGGGCAUCCUUUGAGGUGAGCCAGAGAAGAAACGAAGUGGGAAAAGGAGAAAGUCAAGUACUUUUGACACGUUAGUCUCUCUAUUUUAGAUCCACUUUGGAUUGUAUUCGUUCUAAUCUAUGGCAAAUCCUAAAUAAUUCUGCAUCUAAAAUAAUGAUCAAAUGGGAUUGUUUCUUGAAAUUGACAUAAAACCCGUGCAUAACACGUGUGUAUUUACAUAUAUGGGUUUUAUAUAUGGAACUAGCAUAUAUAAACCGUGUGCUAUGCAGGGUUUAAAAAAAUAUAAAGGAUAAGUUAAAAUAAAAGGCAACCAUUUUCUAAUGAAGAUUGCUACCACUGACUCGCCGCUCUGAAAAUUGUGUGCAUCCAACGUAUAGGUAGUAUCUCUCAUGUUAUUUGAAUUAAAUAUUUUAACAAUCUUGUAUUAAUAUUGUUAGUUUUAUAUAUUUUCAAGUGAUCUAAUGAAGAUUGCAAGAGUGGUCGCUUUUUCUGUUUUGCAUGCUCAUUGGAUGGAUAGUAGUUCUUGCGGGGAUCAUUCCGGAAAUAAUUGAGGACCUAAUUCCUAGUGACGAAGUCGAGACUAUGUUGUUCUUGAUAGCCAUCGGGACGAUAAUUUUUUUGGUUUGACGGAAUAAAUCAUUAAGAUUCUUUUGGUAUGUAAAUAAUACUAAAUGGAACAAUUUUACGGUAGGAUUCGUUCUAUGGUUAGUGGAGUAUUUCAUGCUCAUUACAGAAUAGAUACUUAAAUGGUGCUUGUACUUUAAACAUACUUCAUUACUAAAUUGUGUUAAUAUUUCGUAAGGGCACUGUUAAUGAAACUUUUCGUAAGGGGUGAGAAUAAUGCAUUUACCAUGGGCAUCCUUUGAGGUGAGCCAGAGAAGAAACGAAGUGGGAAAAGGAGAAAGUCAAGUACUUUUGACACGUUAGUCUCUCUAUUUUAGAUCCACUUUGGAUUGUAUUCGUUCUAAUCUAUGACAAAUCCUAAUUGAUUCGGCAUCUAAAAUAAUGAUCAAAUGGGAUUGUUUCUUGAAAUUGACAUAAAAUCCUUGCAUAACACGUGUAUAUUACAAAAAUAACAAAUUUACAUAAAACCCGUGCAUAAAUCGUGUUUACAUACAUAUAUGGGUUUUAUAUAUGGAGCUAGCAUAUAUAAACCCCUUGCUAUGAAGGAUUAAAAAAAAUAUAAAGGAAAAGUAAAAAAAAAAUAAUUGAUAUAUAUAUUUAUUUUAAAAAAAAAAGCUCAUGUUCUUGCUGGCCGUUAGCUGACUUGCCGCUCUAAAAAUCGUGUGCAUACAAGAUAUAGGUAGUAUCUCUCAUGUUAUUUGAGUUAAAUAUUUUUAGAAUCUAGUAAUAAAAUUGUUAGUUUUAUAUAUUUGUGAGUGAUCCAAUGAAGAUUGUAAGUGGUAGCAUUUUCUGUUAUGCAUGCUCAUGGGAUGGAAUGUGUUUCUUGCGGGUAUCAUUCCAAAAAUGAUUGAUGACCUAAUUCCUAGCCUCGAAGUCGAGACUAUGUUAUUCUUGAUAGCCAUCAGGACGAUGCUUUCUAUGGUUUGAGGGAAUUAAUCAUUAAAAGUCUUUUGGUACGUAAAUAAUACUAAAUGGAAUAAUUUUACGGUAAAUAUGUGUGGGUCGAUGGAUUCGUUCAAUGGUUAAUGGAGUAUUUCAUACUCAUUACAGUAUGGAUACUUAAAGGGUGCUUGUACUUUAAACAUACUUCAUUUUUAAAUUGUGUUAAUAUUUCAUAAGGGUACUUAGUGAAACUUUUCGUUAAAAAUGCUAAAAAUUGUUUGACAAAAAUAGCAAGAAUCUUGUAAUUUCCUUUUGCUGGCUUUUAGACAAAUAAAGGGUUAGAAUAAAGCAUUUUUCAUGGCUUCCUUUGAGUUGAGCCAAAGAAGAAACGAAGUCGGAAAAUGAGUUAGUCAAGUACUUUUGACACUUUAGUCUCUCUGUUUUAGAUCGACUUUGGAUUGUAUUCGUUAUAAUCUAUGACACAUCCUGGUUGAUUCAGCAUCUAAAAUAAUGAUUAAAUGGGAUUGUUUCUUGAGAUUGACAUAAACCCUGUGCAUAACACGUGUAUAUUACAAAAAUAACAAAUUUACAUAAAACCCAUGCAUAACAUAUUUUUAUUUACAUAAAUGGGUUUAUAUAUGUAACUAGCAUAUAUAAACCCCAAUGAAGAUAUAGGUAGUAUCUCUCAUGUUAUUUGAAUUAAAUAUUUUAAGAAUCUGGUAAAAAAUUAUUAGUUUUAUAUAUUUGCGAGUGAUUCAAUGAAAAUUAUAAGAGUGGUUGCUUUUUCUGUUUUGCAUGCUCAUGGGAUGGAUUGUACUUCUUGCGGAGAUCAUUCUGGAAAUGAUUGACAACCAAAUUCCUAGCCUCGAAGCCGAGACUAUGUUGUUCUUGAUAGCCAUCGGGAUGAUGCUUUUUAUGGUGGAGGGAAUUAAUCAUUAAGGGUCUUUUGGUACGUAAAUAAUACUAAAUGGAAUAAUUUUACGAUAGAUAUGCAUGGGUCGAUGGAUUCGUUCCAUGGUAAGUGGAGUAUUUCAUACUCAUUACAAUAUGGAUACUUUAAAGGUGCUUCUACUUUAAAUAUACUUUAUUAUUAAAUUGUGUUAAUAUUUCAUAAGGGCACUUUUAAUGAAACUUUUUAUAAAAAUGCCAAAAAUUAUUUGACAAAAAUAGCAAGAUUUUAUAAUUUUUUUUUGCUGAUUUUUAGAGAAAAAUAGGGAGUGAGAAUAAAGCAUUUUUUAUGGGCUUCCUUUGAGUUGAGUCAGAGAAGAAACGAAGUGGGAAAAUGAGCAAUUAAAGUACUUCUGACACUUUAGUCUCUCUGGUUUAGAUCCUCUUUGGAUUGUAUCGUUCUAAUAUAAGACAAAUCCUGGUUGAUUCGGCAUCUAAUUUUACUACUACUCUUUCUCUCUCUCUCCUUUUAAAUUUUGGUAAAAAUGUCAAAAAAUAAAAUGUUCUGUUUGAUUCACGGAAACAUGGCUCAAUUCAAGCACCCACCAUCGUACAUGAUUUGUUGAAGAAAUCAAUUCCAUUCGUUUGUCAUGUUUAUAAGUAGACCCUAUUUUGUUGAAUGAAGAGCUUGAAUUGCUCUUUUUUUUUUUUGAUUGGAUUGCUUUACUUGGGCGUACAGAAGUAUUAAAUUUUGUAUUAGAGAUUUAAAAUUGUUCAUAUGAAUCAAUUUUAGUUGGAUUUACGGAACAGGGUGCAAUUCAAACACCACAUGAUUUGUGGAAGAAAGCAAUUCCAUUCGCUGGUCAUGUGUCUGUUGGAAAAUGGUUUGUUGAACAUAGUUUUUAACAAAUUUUGAGGCUAAUUUAAAGUAUGACCCACAUAUUAUUUUAGGUGGGUCCAAGAGACAAAAAUGUUUAUUUCCAUAUGAUAAUUAAGAUUAUGUAUUUGGUUGAACAAAAUCAUUUAUAUGUGAAUUGAAAAUUGAUUCCAAAGUAGGACAUUUGGUUAUAUUCUACAUAUGUUUAGUCUCACGUUGAAAAAGUAAUGAAAAAAGUAGUGGCAUAUAAAGAGAUGUCUUGCACUUUGGGUUGGG
rnacentral:lncRNA from 1 species